CUCAGGACGAACGCUGGCGGCGUGCCUAAUACAUGCAAGUCGAGCGAGCAAAACUAACAGAUUUACUUCGGUAAUGACGUUAGGAAAGCGAGCGGCGGAUGGGUGAGUAACACGUGGGGAACCUGCCCCAUAGUCUGGGAUACCACUUGGAAACAGGUGCUAAUACCGGAUAAGAAAGCAGAUCGCAUGAUCAGCUUUUAAAAGGCGGCGUAAGCUGUCGCUAUGGGAUGGCCCCGCGGUGCAUUAGCUAGUUGGUAAGGUAAAGGCUUACCAAGGCGAUGAUGCAUAGCCGAGUUGAGAGACUGAUCGGCCACAUUGGGACUGAGACACGGCCCAAACUCCUACGGGAGGCAGCAGUAGGGAAUCUUCCACAAUGGACGCAAGUCUGAUGGAGCAACGCCGCGUGAGUGAAGAAGGUUUUCGGAUCGUAAAGCUCUGUUGUUGGUGAAGAAGGAUAGAGGUAGUAACUGGCCUUUAUUUGACGGUAAUCAACCAGAAAGUCACGGCUAACUACGUGCCAGCAGCCGCGGUAAUACGUAGGUGGCAAGCGUUGUCCGGAUUUAUUGGGCGUAAAGCGAGCGCAGGCGGAAGAAUAAGUCUGAUGUGAAAGCCCUCGGCUUAACCGAGGAACUGCAUCGGAAACUGUUUUUCUUGAGUGCAGAAGAG
rnacentral:rRNA from 1 species